GCGGAUAUGGUGCAAUGGCUAGCAUGUGAGGCUUCCAACCUCUUGAUAUGGGUACUCCUUCGGAGAACGCUUCGCGAACGAGUCCCGUUAUCCGCU
rnacentral:tRNA from 1 species